AAGGAAGUUCUAAAUAAGUAUAGGAAUUGCUUCAAGCCCGGGGUUACAUUACAAAGUCCAAAACAAUACUCACAAAUGGUGAAGCAAAAGUGCCCAAGGGGACACAUGUAGGCAUCAAAACCAAGGGACAUCAAUUAAAAUUACAAGCAUGUAAUACUUUUUCAUGAGUUAACCCAUAUUCUAAGUGUGCUACACCAUUUUAAACACCAUGUUACAUCACUUGAGUCAAGAAAGAUUAAGUUCUGAGUAAGAGGCAUCUAAUUGUUGAUCUUCCGUGUCCGGUCCAUUCCCGUUAAGUUGUGGAUCCACCUGUAUAAGAUGUCCUAACCUGUCCAAAACCAAUUCAAAACCUUACAGACAUGCGCAAU
rnacentral:lncRNA from 1 species